rnacentral:rRNA from 1 species
ACGCUCGACACCUACGGGAGGCAGCAGUGGGGAAUAUUGCACAAUGGGGGAAACCCUGAUGCAGCGACGCCGCGUGAGCGAAGAAGUAUUUCGGUAUGUAAAGCUCUAUCAGCAGGGAAGAAACUGACGGUACCUGACUAAGAAGCACCGGCUAAAUACGUGCCGNAGCCGCGGUAAUCUGAGCGGGCUGGCAAGGC